GCCGCUCUAUCGGCCAUCCCACGGUCGAGGGGAUGGAUAAGAGCAAGCCCUCGACGCUCUCCCUCUCGCCGAAACCCUAGGCCCUCAGUUUUCCCCUCCCUCACAUCUCACACACGAUCUCGAGGUCGCUAGAGCGGAACCGUGGCCGCAUCAUCAUCAACCUCGAGCGUCGUAGCGUCCCCGAGCCUCGAGAGGAGGUCCGAAGGAUGCUGCUCCUUCGUCUUCUUCGACCACGAACAUGGGUUCGUCUGGAGAUGCAACACACCGACGGAUCGGUCUUCAUCUUCCCCGUCGGCCGCCGCACAACCUCGCCUCGAUUCGUCGCCUCCGGAGCUUCCCCGGUGGUCUCGCGCUCGCCAAUCACCUCCUGGUGAGCUCCGCCUUCCGUCCCCUCCCUUCACCCCAGUAGAUCCUUCGACGUUUGGCUCCACUGCUGCCGCGCUCGUGCUCGUGGUGAGCAUGCGCUCACCGCGCCGUGGUCGUACCCUGUGCCUCCAGCCUGCAUCGGCGCGCCCCACUGCCAGCUAACCCGUGUGCCGUCCGUGCCUUGGCAGUGCCCUGUGCGUGCGCCUGCAUUGCUGUGCUUCCCGCUACGCCCGCGCCCUGCUCGCCUCCCUACUGGCUGCGCGCCCGGCAAGGCUGUUGUGCUCGGGCCGCGCCUUGCUCGCCUGCUGGUUGCCUACUGGGCUGCUGUUAUACAUGCUGCUACUGCUGCUUAGUCCCCACUGCUCUGCUUGCCUCGCCGGUGCUGCUGCUUUUCUGCUACUCCUGCUUGGUGCCAACUCUGCUGCUGAUGCAUACGGCCGCUAGUAUCGCUGCUCUACUGCUGUUGUAACUGCUGGCUGUCGUGCACUAGUGGCCGGCUUGCAUGCCCAAGCACACCAUGCGUGCAUGCCCAAGCACACUAGUGGCCGGCUUGGGCCAUGGCCGAUGGGCAUAGCCCCUGUUUAGACCAGUAGAUGAUAAUUAGUGGUUACACUAGUCUAUGCACAGAUGACAUGUGGGUCUCCUGGAGCUUAAAAUAAAUAACAAAAAUAAUUAGAUGCAGUCUAUGACAUCCGGGUCCAGCGGGCACUGUUUGUUUUGACCAGUCAACUCUGACUGGGCUAUUGACUUUUGACCCGGCCCCGCUCAUCACCCUUUGAGGCUACUGCCACUGGGUACACUUAUGGGUGCUCAAAACAGUUUGCCCAAUUAACUUCGAAUUAAAAGUAUUCCUAAAAAACAAUAAAACAUGAAAAAAAUUGUAUAAAAUAAUUCGUAGCUCGAAUGAAAAAAUUUUGUACAUGAAAGUUGCUCAGAAUGACGAGACGAAUCCGGGUGCGCAGCCUGUUCGUCCGCCACGCAUCCCUAACAUAGCGAACAAGCGACUUUUCCCCUCUGGUUCAUCUGUCCGAAAACGCGAAACACCAGGGAUAUUUUCCCGGAUGUUUCCCCCCCUUCACCGGUACCACCUCAUACCGCGUUAGGGCACACCUAGCUUCACGCGUUGUCAUGUCAUGUAUCAUCAUGCAUUUGUUUGCAUUAUGUUUAUUGUUUCUUCCCCUCUUCUCUCGCUAGACACCGAGACCGACGCUGCUGCUACCCAGUACGACUACGGUGUUGAUGACCCCUCUCUCUUGCCAGAGCAACCAGGCAAGCCCCCCCCCCUUGAUCACCAGAUAUCGCUUACUCUCCUCUAUACUGCUUGCAUUAGAGUAGUGUAGCAUGUCACUGCUUUCCGUUAAUCCUAUUCUGAUGCAUAGCCUGUCAAUUUUGCUACAACUGUUGAUACCUUACCUGCAAUCCUAAUGCUUAGUAUAGGAUGCUAGUUUAUCAUCAGUGGCCCUACAUUCUUGUCCGUCUGCCAUGCUAUACUAUCGGGCCGUGAUCACUCGGGAUGUGAUCACGGAUAUAUACUAUAUACUUUAUACAUGAUACAUGUGAUGACUAAAAUCGGGUUGGCUCGAGGAGUACCCGCGGUUGAUUCACGAAUUGGGCCCUGGAAGGACAUACUUUCCCGACGGCCCUCUGUGUGGAUCUUUGUGGCGAAGCGACAGCGCAGGUUGAGACCACCUAUGAGAGAGGUGGGCCUGGCCCUGGUCGGCGUUCGCGGUUAUUUCAAGAUAACAUGUUUAACGGGAUCUUGGUAUUUGAUCUGAGUCUGGCCACUGGCCUAUACGCACUAACCAUCUACGCGGGGACAGUUAUGGGCACUCGACGUCGUGGUAUCAGCCGAAUCCUUCGUGACGUCAGCAACUGAGCGGCGCGCGCUGGAUUGGACCGUAAGCCUGCUCUUGUAUUAAGGGGGCUAGUUCUGGUUCCGGCCGCGUUCGCAACAUGCAGGUGUGCAAAGGGCGAUGGGCCCAGACCCCUGCGCCAUAGGAUUUAGACCGGCGUGCUGACCUCUCUGUUGUCCCUAGGUAGGGCUGCAACGUGUUGAUCUUCCGAGGCCGAGCAUGACCCAGAAAAGUGUGUCCGGACAAAGGGGAUCGAGCGUGUUGGGAAAUGUGGUGCACCCCUGCAGGGAAGUUGAUCUAUUCGAAUAGCCAUGUCCCUCGGUAAAAGGACGACCCAGAGUUGUACCUUGACCUUAUGACAACUAGAACCGGAUACUUAAUAAAACACACCCUUCCAAGUGCCAGAUACAACCGGUAAUCGCUCUCUCACAGGGCGGCGAAGGGAGGAUCAUCGAUUAGGAUUAUGCUAUGCGAUGAUACUGGGUGAACUUAUCAUCUACUCUCUUCUUCUGCUGCAAGAUGGAGGUUACCACAAGCGUAGUCUUCGACAGGAUUAGCUAUCCCCCUCUUAUUCCGGCAUUCUGCAGUUCAGUCCACAUAUGAUACCCUUACUCCAUUUGAUACCAAUGCAUACAUAUGUAGUGUAGCUCCUUGCUUGCGAGUACUUUGGAUGAGUACUCACGCUUGCUUUGCUCCCUCUUUUUCCCCUUUCUAUACCCGAUUGCUGCGACCAUACGUUGGAGCCCAGGAGCCAGACGCCACCGUUAACGACGACUCCUACUACACUGGAGGUGCCUACUACUACGUGCAGCCCGCUGACGACGACCAGGAGUAGUUUAGGAGGAUCCCAGGCAUGAGGCAUGCGCCUCUUUCGAUCUGUAUCUCAGUUUGUGCUAGCCUUCUUAAGGCAGACUUGUUUAACUUAUGUUUGUACUCAGAUAUUGUUGCUUCCGCUGACUCGUCUAUGAUCGAGCUUUUGUAUUCGAGCCCUCGAGGCCCCUGGCUUGUAAUAUGAUGCUUGUAUGACUUAUUUUAUUCGUAGAGUUGUGUUAUGAUAUCUUCCCAUGAGUCCCUGAUCUUGAUCGUACACGUUCGCGUGUAUGAUUAGUGUACGAUUGAAUCGGGGGCGUCACAAGUUGGUAUCAGAGCCGACUGCCUGUAGGAAUCCCCCUUCCACACUCCUUGGCCGAAGUUGAGUCUAGUCGAUGAAAAUUGUUUUACUCACAUGGAUGUGCGGCCCAUGGGCCCACGUCGCCAUUGGGUGGUAUUAGGAUCUUUUACUCCUUGAUGUUUACUCUGGGAUUCUGAUCUCUUUUCUAUUCGGGUUAAAUGAUUUUACUAAUUAUAACUCUAGGUUCUUGUUACUACUUCUCACGGAGAGCCCCUCACUCUAGAUGAUUGCUUGGUGCACCAAAAGAUUCCGAAGAUAAUCUUCGUUGUUCUCUCAAGAGACUUGUGCCCACCGCCUUUGCAAAUUCCCUACCACUGUUAUAUCAUUAUGGAUAACUACAUACACUUGUCGUUUCAAUCCCGUUGAUCUUGUUAUUUAAAGAUACCCCGAAAUUCUCUCUGUUGUUUUGAGAAUACUUUGUUACCACAUGAACACCCCUACGUAUAAUUCCUCGCACUUACCGAGUAUCCGCUCAUCCCUAGUUAUUUAUGUGUUUCACUAAGGUCUUCGAAAUAAUAUUCGAUCUUCCGAAAAUCCUUAGCAGCUUAUUGCUCUUGUAAAUCUUCCUUGCUUGCAUUAUGGUUAAUCCCAUAAGUAUAGAAUCUUAUUGGCAUCCUUUGCCACUAUCAUUUUGAGCCCAUUGAUUCAUUAAGUGCGAAUGCUCGCAAUCCUCAACUAGAUCCUAGAAUUCAUCCUUCCGGCUCAGACGGCAUUCUAAACAUGAGCUGGUUCUCGACCAAUCAAAUUUGCGUCGAUUGUACCCUUAGGUCUGUUCAACUUAUCCACCCUUGAUCAGAGCGUAUGCUUAUGAUCCUUCAUUUUGGAAAUCAUAAUUCCUUUGAUAUCUAAGCAUCGAAUUAUUCAGAUGUUUCUAUAAUCCAAUGACUUUGCAUUGAUUUCUUCCUCUGAUUAUGUGCCGAUGCUCACAUCAGCUCUGUUAUGGACCGUCAAGUCCUUUGUUGAAUUAUCAUCCGAAAGUGUCCUUCAUAUAAUAAACCUUGAGUAGUUCCUUCUCUGAUAUAUAAUGCCAUUGGUAAAUCCUAUUCUCUGAUUGGCCAACCAUGCUCUGCUUUUGAGCUGGUGGUAUUUACUAUUGAAGCUUGUGGUAUAGGUUUCCACGAUACCCUGACGGGUUGAACCUAUGCCUUCCUUAAUAUGUGUGAACUCGAAAGUUUUUGCGAGUCAUACUCUUCUGGUAUUUUGCUAGAUAAAAUUUCAACACUACAACUUCAUCGAAGGCGAGAAGUGAAUGAAAGAUUAUGCAUUGGAGAAGUGGGAGUCGACCUUGAACUUUGCGUUCAUGCCCAUGGACACGAUGCUGAUCUUUUCAUGAAAGCUUCUCAUAAAAAUAAUUAUCCCCUUAAGAUAAGUUCAUCUUAUAUCUUUGAUCUGGUCAUUUGCAAUUGUGGUUCCGACCAUAUUGUUCUCCCUUGUUUUCAUUUCUCAGACAAGUUAAAGCCCUUGUCUUUUCCAGAUCAACACAUCACCACAACCUCUAUUUCUGAUCUUCCUCGGGUAUUACCCUCCGGUAUCUCGAGAAUAUCAAAGAGCCGUGUUGCUUCCUAUGAGUCUUCAUCUAGUAUUGCCUCUCACAGAUUUCAGAUUUCCCCGGGGUUCUGAGUUAUUAGUCACUCGAGAACACCGAUAAGUGAAUGAGUUAAGCUUACGUCUUGUUGCUUACGAGUUUAAUAAUCCUUCAAGUCAUUCCUAGCCUGAGCGGCUAUAUCAUUAUCAUGCAAACUUUUAAUUAUGCUACAUGGUCCUUCUUCCCGGAGCACAAUUUUCGAUAAUGAGUUAAGCUUACGUCGAUUUUCCUCAUCAUAUCAUUUCGCCUUGAACAACAAGCUUGAUUUCGAGUCUGUGACAUACCCAUGGUCCCAAUAACCUUUCGCUUCAUCAUCCCUUUGACUUGAUGUCGUUGCUGGUUGAUUACAUCUUCAUGAAAUCUCUCGACAAAUGUGUCGUGAUCAUCAUCAACCUUAUGAGCUCUUGCAAGAUAUCAAUCAAAUUCAUGAUGAGAAAUAUCAUCCUUGCCCUCGAUGAUUUGUGUUAUCAUCGGCCACUUUAUUGCCUUCCCUCCAACACAAACUUGAUUGUGUUUUGUGUUAUACCUUGAGUUCCUUGAUUUCCAACAUUUGUUUUUCUUUACCUUGGAAUAUUACCACCUUUUAUGUCAAGAUGUCGAGGGAAAUUUCACCACCUCUUGAGAACUCUUAAUACAAGUGAUACUUCUCACCAUCACCAUUCCUUCUUGGUCCCCGUAUUGUUUAUAACUGGAAUGCCGAGAAAUGAACUAUGAUGUGUGAAUUCAAAACUUCUAGUAACCCUAUUGCUUGUAAGUUACGAACGAUAAUUUCUUUCUUCUUGUGUUGAUUAUUGACUCACCAUUCUAACAUCGACCGUGCUACUUAGUCCAUCUUCUAGGUGCACGUUUCGAUCAUUGUUCAUUCGAGUAUGUGCUCCUCGAAACAUACUUUGUUAUAUACUUCGACAUGUCCAAUAAAUUACCUUAUUCACAUAAUUGUGGAAAUCCAUCCUUUGGAAAUCUCGAUGAAUUGUCGCUGAGUCCCUCAGCCACCUCCUCAUCCUCUCCUUGAUUUACUGAUGAGCUCUUGUUUCGGAACUCGCUUCCAUGGUUCAUUUCCCGAGAGUCUUACAAUGUCAUCUCAUCAAUUUGUGUCAUACCUUUUUCUUCUCAGGCAUCCUGAGUCUGAGGUAUCCCGCCCCCAAUCAGAUCUGAAUCUUGGUCGGAUAUGCUAGUUGGAACAUAAUUCCAAGAGUUAUAACACUGCUCUUUUAUGACCCGGUAAGGUGAUGUCAUGCCUCGCACCCCUGGCCGACGACCCUAUUGAUAUAGUUUCCUCUUAACAAGGUUAUCCAUUCUUCCAUGAGGAAAUGGUAAGACUUACUCUACAAAUUGUUCCUGAUGAAUCCUUCGUGUAUCCAAGGUUUGACCUUUGCUUGAAGACCAUGUCAAUGCUAUCUCGAAGCAUGUCUGUGGUACUUUGAUUUUCAAUAAGAACAUUUGAAGCACAAUGCUAAAUUUUCUUUAUCAAAUUAUCCAAACACCGUUGUAUGGGUAAUGUCAUGAAAAUUCUCCCCCUUCCCUAAAAGGGUUUUCUACAUUAUAUCCCGUCAUGGAUAAUGCCCUGUUUGUCCUUGGGAAGGAUAUACCCCUAAAAUAUGUGUUUAAACACAUUUUCCUUUCCAUUGUUCUAUUUAACCUAAUGAUCACAUUUUCCUUUCCAUUCGUUUGUUUAACCUUUCUUGUGAUAUAUAUAAUCUAAGCAGUAAUAAUUCUCUGCUUAUGUAAACACCUCAGAGUACAACUCUAUCACUAAGACCUUGUUACUAUUGUUGAAGACAUUUCGGAAACCAUCGAUGGACGAGAACUUUACCUAUUGGUCUGCCUCGUUCAACGAGCAAGAAAAUGGUUCUCUUCGUCCCUCGCCCUUGGUACCGACAUUGUUGCCGACAUAACUGAUGGGCUACCCUCUGACAUGACCGUGCAAGAUGUCAACGCCCUUCCUACUUUUAAACCACAUGGUGGGCCCAUAACCCACGGUUCCACAUGAUCGAAACCGGACUCUCCUGUACAUCCCUGUUCGAAGUUAUCCCUUGCGCUUCGUUUCAUAUGUAAUUCGCGAGCCACCUUCCUAGUGAUCAAUUCUGGUAUCGGACACAAUACUUAUUCACGUUGCUCUGAACCCCUUUUCACACUUUGUUUCAAGCAACGAACGAUUGCCUAUCCGCUUGAAACUUCUUACUGCACCUUCCUACGUUGCUCUCAAUAUUUCCUUAAGUUUCUAUUCGAGAGUUACUUUCCGCCACCUUCCCCGAUGUUAUCGAUCAGAUAGUCAACCUUGUAGUGGUCCGUUCUCCCAGAAUAACCCCGCCUUAUUCUACCGUAAGUAUGAUAGAGUUUCCGAAGAAAGGACGCCGACUUCAUCAUGAUGACCUGAAGCAGAGAAAUGAAGAUAUCAACAUAGUGGAUCUACCUCUUCGAGAAGAGCAACCAAGACCAAGAAGGAUCGUUAGAAUUUCGUAACCUAGUUUUUCCCCUUACUCCCCUCUAAAAUCUCGGGACGAGAUUUCUUGUAGUGGAGGAGAAUUGUGACGCCCAGAUAAUUAAGCUACAGUAACCCUCUACUAAUGUUGCCACGUCACCAUGAUUACUAUUGAUAAUCUCGCGAUGAUUUAAAACCCGUUGAAAUUUCAAAUUUAAAUAACAAGUCAAAUUAUAAAUUCAUCAAACAGAGAUUUAAAAAUGUUCAAAAGGUAGUAGAUAUUCACUAAAUAAUUAUAGAGCGUCAAUCAACAUAUUGUACAUAACUAUCUGCCUCUAGUUUAAUUAAAACGGGAACCAACUGUGAUUAAAUUAACCAUUUACGGUUGAACAAAUAUUUAUACAAUUCAAAAAUAUUUGAAACCUUUUUUUGCAACCUAAUAAUAUUGCUUAGCAUUUAAAUCUGAAGUUUCAUACUAGACAAAACACGUUUGGUAGCAAAAUAGUAUAAACAGUAGCUAAGUGUAUAACAACAAAAAAAGAGAUUAAAACUGAAGUUGCCCUGUGCAAUUUGGCUCACUAUGAUCAAAAGCUAGCCAGCCUAUUAUGCCUUAUGGGCACUACACGCACACGACCUGUCCCAGCCCAAGUCGUUGGUCAUCCCCAACCUCUCGUGCCGUGGACGCCGCUGGUCCGUCUAGCGUGUGGAUGCCGCGCUGUCGGCCAUCCCACGGUCGAGGGGAUGGAUAAGAGCAAGCCCUCGACGCUCUCCCUCUCGCCGAAACCCUAGGCCCUCAGUUUUCCCCUCCCUCACAUCUCACACACGAUCUCGAGCUCGCUAGAGCGGAACCGUGGCCGCAUCAUCAUCAACCUCGAGCGUCGUAGCGUCCCCGAGCCUCGAGAGGAGGUCCGAAGGAUGCUGCUCCUUCGUCUUCUUCGACCACGAACAUGGGUUCGUCUGGAGAUGCAACACACCGACGGAUCGGUCUUCAUCUUCCCCGUCGGCCGCCGCACAACCUCGCCUCGAUUCGUCGCCUCCGGAGCUUCCCCGGUGGUCUCGCGCUCGCCAAU
rnacentral:lncRNA from 1 species